AUUGAACGCUGGCGGCAGGCCUAACUCAUGCAAGUCGAGCGGUAGAGAGAAGCUUGCUUCUCUUGAGAGCGGCGGACGGGUGAGUAAUGCCUAGGAAUCUGCCUGGUAGUGGGGGAUAACGUUCGGAAACGGACGCUAAUACCGCAUACGUCCUACGGGAGAAAGCAGGGGACCUUCGGGCCUUGCGCUAUCAGAUGAGCCUAGGUCGGAUUAGCUAGUUGGUGAGGUAAUGGCUCACCAAGGCGACGAUCCGUAACUGGUCUGAGAGGAUGAUCAGUCACACUGGAACUGAAACACCGUCCAGACUCCUACGGGAAGGCGCAGUGGGGAAAAUUGGAACAUGGGGCAAAGCCUGGAUCCACCCUGCCCCGUGUGUGAAAAAGGGCCUCCGAAUGUUAAGCACUUUUAGUUGGGAAGGAGGGCAGUAAAAUAAUACUUUGCCGGUUUUGCCUUUCCGACAGAAUAAACACCCGGUUAAUCUGUGGCCGCACCCCCGGGAAAAUAAAAGGUGCCAGCGGUUAUCCGAAAUAUUGGGGGUAAAACGCCCCCAAGGGGGUUGUUUAAUUGGAAGGGGAAAUCCCCGGGGUCUACCCGGGGAAAGGGUUUCCAAACUGUACUUACUAAAGAAUGGUGAGAGGGGGGGGGGGAAUUUUCUGUGUGUGCGGGGAAAUGCGCUAAAUAUAGGAAAGACACCCCCCGGGGGGGAAAGGGCGCCCCCCCCGGGACUAAUAAUUGACACCGAGGGGCGGAAAAACUGGGGGGCGCAACAAGGAUUUAAUACCCCCGGGAGUCCACCCCCCCUAACAAAUUUUAACUAUCCCCUUGGAAACCCCUAGGCUUUUUUUGGGGCCCGCCCUACCCCCUUUUUUUUAUCCCCCCCUGGGGAGAACGGCCCCCCCAGGGUAAAAAACCCAAAAAGAAAUGGCGGGGGCCCCCCACAAGGGUGGGACCAUGUGGUUAAUUUGAAACCAACGGGAAGACCUUACCCAGCCCUGGACUUCCAAUGAACUUUUUGGAGAAGAAUGGGGCCCUUCGGGACCAUGAAACCAGUGGUGGCAGGGCGGUCGUCAGCUCGGGGUCGUGGGAUGUGGGGUUAAGUCCCGUAACGAGGGCAAACCCUUGUCCUUAGUACCCAGCACGUAAUGGUGGGCACUCUAAGGAGACUGCCGGUGACAAACCGGAGGAAGGUGGGGAUGACGUCAAGUCAUCAUGGCCCUUACGGCCUGGGCUACACACGUGCUACAAUGGUCGGUACAGAGGGUUGCCAAGCCGCGAGGUGGAGCUAAUCCCACAAAACCGAUCGUAGUCCGGAUCGCAGUCUGCAACUCGACUGCGUGAAGUCGGAAUCGCUAGUAAUCGCGAAUCAGAAUGUCGCGGUGAAUACGUUCCCGGGCCU
rnacentral:rRNA from 1 species